CGUAGUAACAACGAACUGUGAGAAGUCAGCAGAAGCCAUAGUAGGUAAAGCCCUGAAAUGGGAGUUGCUGAAGGGC
rfam:Ruminococcus sp. DSM 100440 contig00019, whole genome shotgun sequence.